rnacentral:rRNA from 1 species
CAGCAGUAGGAUCUCGCAAUGGACGAAAGUCUGACGGAGCAACGCCGCGUGAGUGAUGAAGGUUUCGGAUCGUAAAACUCUGUUAUUAGGGAAGAACAAAUGUGUAAGUAACUGUGCACAUCUUGACGGUACCUAAUCAGAAAGCCACGGCUAACUACGUGCCAGCAGCCGCGGUAAUACGUAGGUGGCAAGCGUUAUCCGGAAUUAUUGGGCGUAAAGCGCGCGUAGGCGGUUUCUUAAGUCUGAUGUGAAAGCCCACGGCUCAACCGUGGAGGGUCAUUGGAAACUGGGAAACUUGAGUACAGAAGAGGAAAGUGGAAUUCCAUGUGUAGCGGUGAAAUGCGCAGAGAUAUGGAGGAACACCAGUGGCGAAGGCGACUUUCUGGUCUGUAACUGACGCUGAUGUGCGAAAGCGUGGGGAUCAAACAGGAUUAGAUACCCUGGUAGUCCACGCCGUAAACGAUGAGUGCUAAGUGUUAGGGGGUUUCCGCCCCUUAGUGCUGCAGCUAACGCAUUAAGCACUCCGCCUGGGGAGUACGACCGCAAGGUUGAAAUUCAAAGGAAUUGACGGGGACCCGCACAAGCGGUGGAGCAUGUGGUUUAAUUCGAAGCAACGCGAAGAACCUUACCAAAUCUUGACAUCCUUUGAAAACUCUAGAGAUAGAGCCUUCCCCUUCGGGGGACAAAGUGACAGGUGGUGCAUGGUUGUCGUCAGCUCGUGUCGUGAGAUGUUGGGUUAAGUCCCGCAACGAGCGCAACCCUUAAACUUAGUUGCCAGCAUUUAGUUGGGCACUCUAGGUUGACUGCCGGUGACAAACCGGAGGAAGGUGGGGAUGACGUCAAAUCAUCAUGCCCCUUAUGAUUUGGGCUACACACGUGCUACAAUGGACAAUACAAAGGGCAGCUAAACCGCGAGGUCAUGCAAAUCCCAUAAAGUUGUUCUCAGUUCGGAUUGUAGUCUGCAACUCGACUACAUGAAGCUGGAAUCGCUAGUAAUCGUAGAUCAGCAG